rnacentral:tRNA from 1 species
GAGGAUGCGUUUAGAACGACCACAGAAUGCUAAUCUAUGAAUCCUUGGUUAAAAUCCGAGGCGUCCUCG